rnacentral:lncRNA from 1 species
GUGAGUAUAGAGCAAACGUCAAAUCUGUUCUUUAAUCUCAAGAAUCUCUUCAUACCAGUUUCCUUUCAUGGAGAACUUCACCAUCGCAUGAGGCUGGGAAAGUCUUGGGGCAACUGAAAAUUUCUGGCCAGGGCACACCCUGGUGUUAUUCAAAGGCUUCUGGACUGAACGCAGCCUCCGACAGCCUGUCCAGGUGUUGGUAAUGGAUCUCCAGCUAACCCGUUGCAAAAUUUUCCUUUCCUUUGUAUCCGUGGUCACUAUGUCUCCUGUCCUCUCUCUCUGUGUGUGCAAUUUGCGGGAAGUUUUACAGUUCAGGGAAACACUCCUGUUAGGGAAGAUCGGCAAAUGCCACAGGCAGUAACUGUUACUCUCUAUCCUCUCUGGCGAGCACAUGGUAGUGCUAAGCCAACAGCACCACCUAGUGGAAAUAAAAAUCCUCUUCAUCAGGCACCUUGUCGGUUUUUUACCGUAACACUGCCGCUUCCAAAUUCUUUCGUGCCGCUAGAAAAGCCUCUUCUGUGAACGAGAAAGCACUGUCUUCAACAGUUUGGAGUAAAAUGUCCUCUGUAGUGAAAUUUUAGUUCUGAUACUGUCUCAUCAGCAGGAAAAACAGCCAUUAGGUUCCUACGUUCAUUUCCGUCUCCAAUUAGGAUAGUACUUAAUUAGCAAGGGGAUUUUAGGUUCGGAAGUUAACCAGAGCCAUUUUGCUAAGGGUAAAUGUCUUAGCAUGGGCCGUAAUGGCAGGCAAUCUAGCACACUGCCUCCGUUAAAGGAGCCUACCCAAAGAUGACAUAGUCUCUCUGGAGAUCCAUUUUUCUGGGAGCCAGGCAGAUCACACAAAUUUAGGACGUCAAAGGGGAUCACAUAAGGUGGAUAAGCUAAGGUUGUGUGGGUAAAGUAUGGUUAAUCCCAUCACUUAGUUUAUCCAGUUCCACGGCUUGGAGGACCACGCCUACAACCAUGGGUGGUACAUUUAACACGUUGCCAGGACCCAGGAACCAAGGAGAGAAAACAGUAGGGAGGACACUUCCACUGUCUUCUCCUCCACCCUGGGUCACAAUGAAAGAAUGGGGACGAAAGGAUACUUUUAUUCUCACUUCUUUUUCUAGAUGGGUGACAGACCAGCUUCAGCUUGCACCCCUCUGGAGUGCACUCUGAAACACUGGAACUCCUUUAACCUCAGGACUUUGAAGAGAAAAGUGACUCAUUUUCUUUUGCACAAGGGCAUGGCUUUUUUACUAAACCUUUGCAAGCACUGUAAGAUCAGCCCAGCUUUUUAAAUAGGCAUAUCAGGUAGGCCUAUAGAAAAUAAUCCCCCAGAAUUAGAAAGGCAAUUUCCAAGGGAACCAUCUGAGAAUUCCCCUUAUUUAGGGUUGCCAAUAUGGGGGAAGUAAAGAGAAAUCAGACUGUUGCUGUGUCUAUGUAGAAAAAGGAAGACAUAAGAAACUCCAUUUUGAUCUGUACUAAGGAAAAUUCUUCUGCCUUGACAUGCUGUUAAUCUGUAACCCUAGCCCCAACCCUGUGCUCGCAGAAAACCUGUGCUGUAUUGACUCAAGGUUUAAUGGAUUUAGGGCUGUGCAGGGUGUGCUUUGUUAAAAAUGUGUUUGUAGGCAGUAUGCUUGGUGAAAGUCAUUGCCAUUCUCCAGUCUCGAGUACCCAGGGACACAAUGCACUGUGGAAGGCCGCAGGGACCUCUGCCCAAGAAAGCCUGGGUAUUGUCCAAGGGUUCCCCCCACUGAGAGAGACAGCCUGAGACAUGGCCUUGUGGGAAGGGACCUGACCUGACCGUCCCCAAGGCUGAUUCCCAUAAAGGGUCUGUGCUGAGGAGGAUUAGUGAAAGAGGAAGGCCUCUUUGCAGUUGAGAUAAGAGGAAGGCAUCUGUCUCCUGCUCAUCCCUGGGAAUGGAAUGUCUCGGUGUAAAACCCGAUCAUACAUUCUAUUUACUGAGAUAGGAGAAAGCCGCCUUAUGGCUGGAGGUGAGACAUGCUGGUGGUAAUACUGCUGUUUACUGCACUGAGAUGUUUGUGUAAAGUCAAACAUAAAUCUGGCCUAUGUGCACAUCCAGGCACAGCACCUUUCCUUAAACUUAUUUAUGACACAGAGUCCUUUGCUCACAUGUUUUCCUGCUGACCCUCUCCCCACCAUUACCCUAUAGUCCUGCCACAUCCCCCUCACUGAGAUGAUAGAGAUAGUGAUCAAUAAAUACUGAGGGAACUCAGAGACCAGAGCCGGCACAGGUCCUCUGUAUGCUGAGCACUGGUCCCUUGGGCCCACUGUUCUUUCUCUAUACUUUGUCUCUGUGUCUUAUUUCUUUUCUCAGUCUCUCGUCCCACCUGAUGAGAAAUACCCACAGGUGUGGAGGGGCUGGCCCCCUUCAACCUCAAGCUCCCUUUUCAUUACAGGACCUUAGGCAAACAAAGGAAGACUUAUGCUAAUUUUCUGAUAACCCCAAUAGGUAUAUAGAAGCUGUCCAGAAUUUAACUCAGGUGUUUCACCUCACAUGGAAGGAUGUUAUGCUGCUCCUAAACCAAACUCUAACCGCAGUUGAAAAGCAGGCAGCUCUGCAGGCAGCAGAUAAUUUUGGAGAUGAGCAACAUAUCUCCUAUAAUACACCAAAAGGGAAGAAAAGAGAUAGGGAAAGUGAAAAAAAUAACAGAAACACCAUUCCCAGUAGGAAGGGAAGCAGUUCCUCUCGACAACCCCAACUGGGACCCCAGUAGCUCUGCAAAUGAAUAGAAAUGGAAGCAUUUUUAAAAUAUGCAUAUUAGAGGGUCUAUGAAGAACUAAGGCCUGACCUCUUAAUUCCUCUCAACUGUCUAUGAUAGACCAAAAGCCAGAUGGGAAUCCUGCAGCUUUUAUGGAAAGGCUGAGAGAGGCACUAAUAGAGCACACUUCCUUAGCCCCUAAUUCAGUCAAGGGAUGGCUCAUUGUAAAGACAAGUUUAUUACACAGGCAGCUCUUGAUAUUAGAAGGAAACUGUAGAAGCACGCUAUAGGACCAGAUAGCACCUUGGGGAACCUCCUGAGGGUGGCCACUUAUAAUAGGGACCAGGAGGAGGCCCCCCAGAAAGAGAGAAAGCUCAGGAGAAAGACAGAGGCUCUAGUAGCAGCUUUGCAAGCUUGCAAAGUCCAAGAUUUCUGAGGUGCAUCCGCUAGUUGCUAUCAGUGUGGCAAGCCAGGGCAUUUUAAAAAGGAGUGCCCAAACAGCAAGAGGAAGCCACCUCAACCCUAUCCAGCCUGUGGUGGAGACCACUGGAAAUCAAACUGCCCCCGGAGACGGAGGUCACUGGAGUCAGAACCAGUCUCACAGAUGGUCCAGCAGGACUGAUGGGUCCUGGGGCUCAAACCCCAGCUCCAGUGGCUCAAACUGCCAUUACAGCACGGGAGCCACCAGGUGAUUCUGGAAAUUGAAGGAAGGAAACUAGACCUCCUUCUAAACACUCGAGCCAGUCUCUCUCUCUUUUCUCCUCUUUAAUCCAGGCCUCUCUUCUUCCCAUAGCGUGAGUGUAAGGGGUGUCUCAGGAAAAACUCUAUUCCAAUAUUUUUCUCAACCUCCUAAUUGCAGUUAGGAGGACCUAUUGUUUACACAUGCUUCCAAGCCAUUGCCACGGUGGCUCUACUAGUCAAAAAAGCCUCCAAAUUAACCCUAGGAAAUAAUUUAACUGUUUACACCCCACAUAAUGUAGCAGGAUUACUGUCCUCUAGGGGAGACUUUAGCUAACAAACAGCAGGUAAAGCAAGAAAUACAUAAGGCAGGACAAGCAAUAGUCACUCUAAUGUCUCUCCCCAGACACAAGCACUCAAUUAGCUGAACUAAUAGUUCUUGCAAGUGCACUUAAAUUAAGCAGGGGAAAGAUAGCUAACAUUUCCACUGACUCCAAGUAUGCUUUCUUAGUUCUCCAUGCUCAUGCUGCUAUUUAAAAGGAAAGACAUUCUUUUACCACUAAAGCAUCUCCUAUAAAAUAUCACCAGGAAAUUAACAGGUUAUUAUCCUCAGUUUUCCUUUCACGAAAAAUAGCAGUAAUGUAUUAUAGGGAACAUCAAAGAGGAACAGAUGAAGUAGCCAAAGGAAAUAGGUUAGCUGAGCAGGGAGCUAAGCAGGCGGCAGGGAAGCCUCAAGGCAUUAACACACUUCAAGCCCUUUUAAUCUCGGAAGCCUCCAUAAAAGAAAUUAAACCUCAGUAUUCCCCUGCAGAAAUAAAAUAAGCCACUUCUUAAGGGUAUUCCAGCCCUGAGGAUGACAAACUCCAUUUACUGGCCUCCAGUCAAUGGAAAGUCCUUAAAAUCCUUCACCAAGCUUUUUCACAUAGGAAAGGAUAAAACUUAUCAUCAGUGUGCUCAGAGAUUGUUUUCAGGCAGAAAACCUCUAAGUUGUUUAAAAAUGUAACCUCUCUAGCUCACUUCCAACAGAAAUUGACACAACUAGCCAAAGGCCAACCCCAGGAAAUUGGACCACCAGAAAAUUUGGUAUUGGUGAAAACUCAUCUCUCUCUCCUUCCCUAAGCCAGGCUGGGAAGGGCCCUACACAAUUCUUCUUUCAACCCCCCCAGCAGUAAAAGUUACAAGUAUCAACCUCUGAAUAUAUCACACUCAAGUCAAAGCCUGAAAAGCUGAGGGAGCAACCUUUGACAGCCCAGAGGAACAUCCUGAAUAUCAAUGUGGAGAUAUAGAAGAUCUUAAGCUGAAAAUCAUAAAAGAAGCAAUCAAACUUCAAAUGGUGCUGCAAACAAAGCCACACAUGGACAUGCCAUUCUUCCAAGAAGCCUUAGAUCAACCUCAGGAGGAGCCCCAACUGCAGCCCCCCGACACGACGCCCCUUUUCAGCAGGAAGUAGCCAGAAAGAAUCGUCGUCCAACACCCCCUAACAGCAGUUAUGGUUACGUCUCCUGAGGGAGGAAAUAAUACAGGAGUUAUUAAGAAAUUAUUUUUAGGCAGCUAGAAAGGGUAAAAAUUCUCAGUGGAAUUUUCCUUUAAUAAAAAGCAGCCCCAAACCAUUUCUUCUCUAACAGGAAGCAGCCUGAAAACUCAGGCAUAGAUAUGCAAACUAGAAGCUUUUAUAUGUAAAUGCUGGCAGCUGUACCUGGAAGUCAGGUACAUCCAAUAUGGCGGUUCCCACUCUCUUUUCCUUGUCACCACGUUUACAGGUGUCAUGGCAGCCUCCAGGUAAAACCACAUGUACAGGUAUCCUGUCCACCACCAGUUGGAGACCGUAUUUGAAUAAUAAAAGACUAGGGUGGGAGAGUCAGUCUUUUCGUGGGCUAUGUAAAUGACACAACUGGUCAAACCAAUUCCCUGAGCGCUGUGUAAAUCAAUCACCGCCUCCUCAACCUCUGUACAAAACCGACUGCAUUCCACCACAAACCGCAGACCCUCUUUUGGGCAACCCACUUUCUCAGCAUGAGGAAGGAUUUUUUCUCUCUUUUCUUUUCUAUUAAACUUUCCACUCCCAA